GGCUGCUUGCUUGCUUGCUUAAGAACCUUAUGCCUCAGACACAGAGGGAGUGACCAGUGACUCAGCAAUGACAUUGUGGAGGAGUAGGAGCACCCAAGUGAGUGGGUUGCUGCAAUGGCAGUGAGGUGCUGUAGCACCAACCAGUGGCAAUGUUGCUAUGGAGAGGGGCCCUGCUGUGGGCAUGGUGUCUAGAACCCCAGUUUAGCCAUCACUGCAUGUAUUUAUGGCCGAUAGAGAUGGUGGUACUGCUCCUGAUAGCAUUCAUUACUUGGAAACAAAAUGUCAUCACAAUAACCAGCUUCACUGUAGCUCAGACAGAUAUGUAGUUCUUCUUCUAAACUUCUGUUCUCCUAUAAGAUCAGCAUUCUGGAACACUAGUCAGUGCAUAAAUCCAUGAAAGGGCUAUCCUUGUGUGCAUGUUCAUAACUCCAAUAUUUACUGGCUGGAGGAACAUGAGGAUAUUCUAGGUGUGUAACUACAGCCAGUGAACUUUUUCUCAGUCCAGGAGCAACCCAUUAGUGUGGAAAGGAAAGCCUGACACCCACUCUCUUAUAAUAAUGUGUGAAGAAAGAUGUGGACAAUCAGCUAUGGAUUCAAUCUUGAAAACAUUGGCUCAAACAGAAAUGAUCUCACUAUCAAUGAUGAGCGUGGAAAGGCACUGAGUACUAAGCUACCUAAUAUACCCCAUUACAUGCAGUAAGAUCCAAAUGGUCACUUUAGAUAGGGAAAUGCCCACUAGGAGUGGGUGAUUUGUAGAAGAGAAGAGGCAGAAGGGGUGGUGCUUAGUCCACCAUAGAGACAUACACUAUGCAACUUCCUUUCUGCUGUGUUUCAGAUGCAUUCAAGGUAAAACACACUAACACAUUGAAUCCCUUAGUGGAAAAGCCCCUGGUGGAGGAGAAUUUGGAGGGGAAAGCAGAGGGUGAUGGAGGGUUAAGCAAAGAAGCACCCCAUCCCAUUGACUUAUCCACUGCAAAUAAGCAAAAGUUGAUUAGCUCUAGGAAAACAGCAUUGGAGUGUAACAUGUAGUUCUGCCCUUGGGUUCAGGCCUCCAGAUGAGUACUUUCUUAAAGGGUAAAGCUGUGGUGCCUCUCCUUUUAAAAAUUAACCACUGGUGGUGUGUAGCAGAUGAGUCCAGUUACCUACAGUCCACAAACAAUGGGACCCCUAAGGAAGCAGAAGUAAGUAGCUGACAUGAGCACAGUGAUCAAAUGGAUUGUUUCCCACUUGCAGAACAGCUGACAUUUCAUUAACAGCUGACAUUUCAUUAACAGCAAUAUCUACUUUGUUUGGCUCUCCCUGAGUCAGUUCUAUCUUUAUUCUAUACUUGAUUUAUGCUUCUCACAAUGAUCCAUCUCUAUAUAUGAUUUAUGCCCUGGAGACCUCUCUAUUUUGGGCAAAUUUCACAUUCCCCAAACUGUUUCAAUUAUGAGAAUAGCUGUACUUUGAAGCUCCCCCAUAUAAUUUCUGUUGGAAGGGAGUGCGAAGAAUCACAAACUACUUUUCACACUAAAAAUGCUGUGCUAUAGAUUAAUACAGUAUAAUGCACCUUCCAGCUCCUCUGAGGCUGCAGAUGCUGCUGUUACUGUUGCAAUUACACAAGCAUUGUGAGCGCCUCACAAGCCAACAAUAGCGGCUACACAGUCCUGCUGGAUUCCCUCCCGCGCUGCAUCUCAUUUUCAUUUCCUGCAAUGGGUGACCCAAUUUAUCCUACAGCUUAAUUAAAAACAACAAUAGCAGCACCUUCUUGUCUAGGAAGCUCAAUUAUUCGAAACUGAGUCAUUUUACAUGAACAAUUCCAAUACUACAGCCAGUACACUUUAGCUCUGGUAUAAGCCUCUGGGGAAUUGCUCAUGUAACCAAAUACUCCUACUGGUGCUCCCUUGCCUUCUCUUAGCAUUCAGUCAUGAACUCGCAAUCUCCGUGAGCUGGCAGUUCUUUGCAAAGCCAUCUGAGUAGCACACAUCCUAAGGGCUGCUUUCUCUCUGCCAAAGAAAUCUUAAUGAAGGGAAACCACCAUUAGUAGUUACAUUCAAUAUGAUGGAUGUCAUGGUGGAGGUGAGCAGCCAAUUGCUGUUCUAAUGCCCCAGGGUGUCAUCCAAGAUUGAUUGGUAACAGUCACAGUUCAGCCCCUUCCUUGUAGCUGGUUCUAGUUUGGUAGGCAUUUUAUGCACAGCUUGGAUGAUACCUGUGAUGGCAGGUGAAUUGUCUGGGUUUUCAGGAGGGCAAGAUUGAGCUCCAGGGUGUCUGUGCUCACAAUUUAUAAAAGAGAAUAAAAUGAGGUGAUAGCAUGUUCUCUCCCUCUCCCUCUCUCUGCCCACCUCUCUCCUUCAAUGUGUCUUGGAUAUGCUUGUUUGUGAUUGCCAGGGAUUAGUGGGCACAUUUGCAGGACCAUGUUCAGGGCUACUUGUUGCCACCUGCAGACCCAAUGUUUGGGACAAAUGCCCCACUGCCUCUAUAUGCCUACUCCUAGAGCAACUGGAAAUUCAGCUUCUUUUCUCCCUCCCUCCUUUUGAUAAUUCCUCCUAGGUUAUUCUCUUUCCCAGUGAGGCUAUUUUAUCAUGGCAAACACGUUCCCAGUGUGGACAUUAAUCAAUGGCAAAUUAGAAUGGAAUUGAUAUAUGCAUAUGACAUGCACAUUAAUUUUAAAUGUGUUUAUUGUAAUUAGUGUCAUUACAAUGAAUGCCAGUGGAAUCAGCAAGUGAUUAACCUCAUUUAUGAUUGGUUACAGUUUGUUUUUUGUAAAGUUCAACUUUAAAAUUAGCACAUCAAAAUGUCUCUGUGUUAUUUAGGAUAGUUACUGGAGUGAAUGCAUAACUAUUUCAAAGUAUAUUAAUAAAUAUUGACAGCUUGUCCAAAUUUACUUUUUUUUAAAAGA